UCCAUCGUCAAGGACGCCCCAGCCGCGGAGCCCUUCGCCGCCUCUGAGAUCCGAGAGGAACCGCUGCCGCCGCCAGUGCGGCUCCACCCCUUUCUUCCCCAUCGACCCCCAGCACCUCCUCGCUGUUCCCAAUCCCAUCCUAUGCGCGCCCCUGCGGCUAACCCUAGCCGCCAACUCGUGUUGCGGCCGCGUCACUGAAGGGGUGGAGCGGCUGGGGCGCCACCGGCCGCUUGGGUGCAGAAGCAGUGGCAGCGGUGGCGCCGUGCUGGGGCGGAGGAGAGGGAUAGCGAUGUGGUGGUUCGAGCCUGGAGGGUAGCGCCGUCCCAGAUUGAGGUGGAAUCCGGUGAGAAGCGCCUAAACAAGCUCGGUUACAAGGAAGAGCUCCAGAGGGAGAUGACGCUGUUCAAGACGCUGGCCAUCACUUUCUCCAGGAUGAUGAUCUUCACUGGGAUCACGUCUUUGUACGGUAGCAUCCUCCAGUACGCGAGGCCGUCCAGCCUCGUGCGGGGCUGGGUCAUCGUCUCCUUCUUCACCUGGUUCAUCGGUGUCGUCAUGUUGGGGAUUUCUCCUUCCCUUUCUUUGAACCUCUAACUACUGAAGCUAAAAAUGAAGUUCACGAUUGUUUGUAUGGCAACGGUUCAGGGUACGUUUCAUGACAUGCUUGCAUCUUGUUUGAAGCUUCCUAUGUGCCUUGCUAACACAACUCAACAUUGCUCCUUUUCACUUACAGUAGCAAAGUCCUGGUGCUGCAUGAACCGUCUAACAUUCAGGUUAGCAGGGGGAAAAAUCAGUGUUUGAGACCACAUGGCAGGUUAAAUGACGAGCUAAAUAUUCAUCUUACAUGUACUAAACCAUCCUUAUUGAUUGCAAACAUGUAAACUUUGCACUGGUGUUUUUAUACGUAAUGGGGAAAGUGGGAUCCCUUGUCUUCAGGUCAUUAAUUUGUACC